AUUGAACGCUGGCGGCAGGCCUAACACAUGCAAGUCGAGCGAGCGGCGGACUGGUGAGUAAUGUAUGAGGAUCUGCCCGACAGACGGGGCUAACUACUGUAAACGGUGGCUAAUACCGCAUACUAUCGGUUGAACCCUCAGGGGAUUAUCUAGUCGGGGGGGUAAAGGCUAACCUAGGCGACGAUCUCUAGCUGGUCUGAGAGGAUGAUCAGCCACACUGGGACUGAGACACGGCCCAGACUCCUACGGUAGGCAGCAGGGGGGAAUAUUGCACAAUGGGCGCAAGCCUGAUGCAGCCAUGCCGCGUGUAUGAAGAAGGCCUUAGGGUUGUAAAGUACUGUCAGCGGUGAGGCGUUACCCGCAGAAGAAGCACCGGCUAACUCCGUGCCAGCCGCCGCGGUAAUUC
rnacentral:rRNA from 1 species